GACAGAGGGUGCAAACGUUGUUCGGAAUUACUGGGCGUAAAGCGCGUGUAGGCGGCCAACUAAGUCGGGCGUGAAAUCCCACGGCUCAACCGUGGAAGUGCACUCGAAACUGGAUGGCUAGAGUCCUGGAGAGGAAGGUGGAAUGCUUGGUGUAGAGGUGAAAUUCGUAGAUAUCAAGCGGAACACCGGUGGCGAAGGCGGCCUUCUGGACAGUGACUGACGCUGAGACGCGAAAAGCGUGGGGGAGCAAACAGG
rnacentral:rRNA from 1 species